rnacentral:lncRNA from 1 species
AUUUCUGAUGUCUACUUAUGAGAUUUUGUUAUCGUCUCUCCUCAGUCACAAGAUCUGUGAAUUGGGGAGCUGAUUUAAACUGAGACUAGUCAAGAUCCUAGUCUGAAUGGAGAAAUGCUUUGAAGAGCUGGCUGAGAAAUGAAUUCCUUUAUUGCAAGAAAUUAUGAUUAUUUGCUGGUGUGGAAGACAAAUGAGCUGAUGUUCCACUGGGUAUUCUGAACAACAUCCACUACAGCAUUGCUCAAGGUUCAAGAGUGAAAUUCAUAACAAAUGUCAGAAGGAACAGCAUCGUGCUUGAGAUUGAAGAGAGGCUCAGAUUGAAGAAGCCUCAGGUAGGUUUUUUUUCUCAUCUGAAAUAAUGAAGGCAACGUUCUUGAUUUACAUGCUGAAGGAAAUCAGGCAGAUCGAAAUCAUUUAUGUGAUGAUGAUCUCUGUGG